rnacentral:rRNA from 1 species
GACGAACGCUGGCGGCGUGCUUAACACAUGCAAGUCGAACGGUAAGGCCCUUCGGGGGUACACGAGUGGCGAACGGGUGAGUAACACGUGGGUGAUCUGCCCUGCACUUCGGGAUAAGCCCGGGAAACUGGGUCUAAUACCGGAUAGGACCACUGCCUGCAUGGGUGGUGGUGGAAAGCUUUUGCGGUGUGGGAUGGGCCCGCGGCCUAUCAGCUUGUUGGUGGGGUGAUGGCCUACCAAGGCGAUGACGGGUAGCCGGCCUGAGAGGGUGACCGGCCACACUGGGACUGAGAUACGGCCCAGACUCCUACGGGAGGCGGCAGUGGGGAAUAUUGCACAAUGGGCGCAAGCCUGAUGCAGCGACGCCGCGUGAGGGAUGACGGCCUUCGGGUUGUAAACCUCUUUCAGCACCGACGAAGCGCAAGUGACGGUAGGUGCAGAAGAAGGACCGGCCAACUACGUGCCAGCCGCCGCCGUAA